CCUACGGGAGGCAGCAGUGAGGAAUAUUGGUCAAUGGGCGCGAGCCUGAACCAGCCAAGUAGCGUGAAGGAUGACUGCCCUAAGGGUUGUAAACUUCUUUUAUAAAGGAAUAAAGUGAGGAACGUGUGCCUUUUUGUAUGUACUUUAUGAAUAAGGAUAGGCUAACUCCGUGCCAGCGGCCGAGGUAAUACGGAGGAUUCGAGCGUUAUCCGGAUUUCUUGGGUUUAAAGGGAGCGUAGAUGGGUUGUUAAGUCAGUUGUGAAAGUUUGCGGAUCAACCGUAAAAUUGCAAUUGAUACUGGCAGUCGUGAGUACAGUUGAGGUAGGCGGAAUUCGUGGUGUAGCGGUGAAAUGCUUAGAUAUCACGAAGAACUCCGAUUGCGAAGGCAGCUUACUAAACUGCCACUGACAUUGAUGCUCGAAAGUGUGGGUAUCAAACAGGAUUAGAUACCCCUGUAGUC
rnacentral:rRNA from 1 species